rnacentral:sRNA from 1 species
AAAAAGUUGGCUUCUGCGGGAGCCACUGCAAACGAAACAGCUUUGGAUUGGCUUUCUGCUCGGCUCAGGCCUGUUCCGUAUGCUGCAAAGUUUUUGACGCAUUAUAUCUAUUGGUAACUCAUGAACCCCAUCGUAAUUAACAGGCUGCAGCGGAAGCUGGGCUAUACUUUUCAA